GGGAUGUUAGUUCAGUUGGUUUAGAACGCAUGCUUGACAGGCAUGAGGUCACUGGUUCGAAUCCAGUACAUCCCACUA
rnacentral:tRNA from 1 species